GGCUCAGAUUGAACGCUGGCGGCAUGCCUUACACAUGCAAGUCGAACGGUAACAGGUCUUCGGAUGCUGACGAGUGGCGAACGGGUGAGUAAUACAUCGGAACGUGCCCGAUCGUGGGGGAUAACGCAGCGAAAGCUGUGCUAAUACCGCAUACGAUCUACGGAUGAAAGCGGGGGAUCUUCGGACCUCGCGCGGACGGAGCGGCCGAUGGCAGAUUAGGUAGUUGGUGGGAUAAAAGCUUACCAAGCCGACGAUCUGUAGCUGGUCUGAGAGGACGACCAGCCACACUGGGACUGAGACACGGCCCAGACUCCUACGGGAGGCAGCAGUGGGGAAUUUUGGACAAUGGGCGAAAGCCUGAUCCAGCAAUGCCGCGUGCAGGAUGAAGGCCUUCGGGUUGUAAACUGCUUUUGUACGGAACGAAAAGACUCUGGAUAAUACCUGGGGUUCAUGACGGUACCGUAAGAAUAAGCACCGGCUAACUACGUG
rnacentral:rRNA from 1 species